rnacentral:rRNA from 1 species
UGGGGAAUUUUGGACAAUGGGCGAAAGCCUGAUCCAGCAAUGCCGCGUGUGUGAAGAAGGCCUUCGGGUUGUAAAGCACUUUUGUCCGGAAAGAAAUCCUUGGCUCUAAUACAGUCGGGGGGAUGACGGUACCGGAAGAAUAAGCACCGGCUAACUACGUGCCAGCAGCCGCGGUAAUACGUAGGGUGCAAGCGUUAAUCGGAAUUACUGGGCGUAAAGCGUGCGCAGGCGGUUUGCUAAGACCGAUGUGAAAUCCCCGGGCUCAACCUGGGAACUGCAUUGGUGACUGGCAGGCUAGAGUAUGGCAGAGGGGGGUAGAAUUCCACGUGUAGCAGUGAAAUGCGUAGAGAUGUGGAGGAAUACCGAUGGCGAAGGCAGCCCCCUGGGGCCAAUACUGACGCUCAUGCACGAAAGCGUGGGGAGCAAACAGGAUUAGAUACCCUGGUAGUCCACGCCCUAAACGAUGUCAACUAGUUGUUGGGGAUUCAUUUCCUUAGUAACGUAGCUAACGCGUGAAGUUGACCGCCUGGGGAGUACGGUCGCAAGAUUAAAACUCAAAUGAAUUGACGGGGUCAUAGCUGUUUCCU